rnacentral:rRNA from 1 species
UACGGAGGAUCCAAGCGUUAUCCGGAUUUAUUGGGUUUAAAGGGAGCGUAGGCGGCCAUUUAAGUCAGAGGUGAAAACUUGCAGCUCAACUGUAAGCUUGCCUUUGAUACUGAGUGGCUUGAAUGAACUUGAGGUAGGCGGAAUGUGACAAGUAGCGGUGAAAUGCAUAGAUAUGUCACAGAACACCAAUUGCGAAGGCAGCUUACUAAGGUUUAAUUGACGCUGAGGCUCGAAAGCGUGGGGAUCAAACAGGAUUAGAUACCCUGGUAGUCCACGCCCUAAACGAUGAUAACUCGAUGUUGGCGAUAUACAGUCAGCGUCCAAGCGAAAGCGUUAAGUUAUCCACCUGGGGAGUACGCCCGCAAGGGUGAA